rnacentral:rRNA from 1 species
CCCCUAGAUGUUCUGGGCCGCACGCGCGCUACACUGAACAGUUCAACAAGUCUUAACCUUGGCUGAUAGGUCUGGGUAAUCUUUGAACGCUGUUCGUGAUUGGGAUAGACCUUUGCAAUUAUGGGUCUUCAACGAGGAAUUCCUAGUAAACGCAAGUCAUCAGCUUGCAUUGAUUACGUCCCUGCCCUUUGUACACACCGCCCGUCGCACCUACCGAUUGAAUGGUCCGGUGAAAUCUCGGGACGGCGGCUCGGUCGCUUGCGUCCGACUGCUGAAACUUGAUUAAACCAUAUCAUUUAGAGGAAGGUGAAGUCGUAACA